rnacentral:rRNA from 1 species
UACAGAGGGUGCAAGCGUUGUCCGGAAUUACUGGGCGUAAAGAGCUCGUAGGUGGUUUGUCGCGUUGUCCGUGAAAACUCACAACUCAAUUGUGGGCGUGCGGGCGAUACGGGCAGACUGGAGUACUGCAGGGGAGACUGGAAUUCCUGGUGUAGCGGUGGAAUGCGCAGAUAUCAGGAGGAACACCGGUGGCGAAGGCGGGUCUCUGGGCAGUAACUGACGCUGAGGAGCGAAAGCGUGGGGAGCGAACAGG